rnacentral:rRNA from 1 species
UAAAAAAAGGUAAGCUACUAAGAGCGAAUGGUGGAUGCCUUGACUGGUAAAGGCGAUGAAGGACGUACUAGACUGCGAUAAGCUACGGGGAGCUGUCAAGAAGCUUUGAUCCGUAGAUUUCCGAAUGGGGCAACCCAAUGUAUAGAGAUAUACAUUACCUAUAUAGGAGCGAACGAGGGGAAUUGAAACAUCUUAGUACCCUCAGGAAAAGAAAUCAAUAGAGAUUGCGUCAGUAGCGGCGAGCGAAAGCGCAAGAGGGCAAACCCAGUGCUUGCACUGGGGGUUGUAGGACUGCAAUGUGCAAGAGGUAAGUUUAGCAGAAUAUUCUGGAAAGUAUAACCAUAGAGGGUGAUAGUCCCGUAUGCGAAAAACAAACCUUAGCUAGCAGUAUCCUGAGUAGGGCGGGACACGAGGAAUCCUGUCUGAAUCCGGGUCGACCACGAUCCAACCCUAAAUACUAAUACCAGAUCGAUAGUGCACAAGUACCGUGAGGGAAAGGUGAAAAGAACUGAGGUGAUCAGAGUGAAAUAGAACCUGAAACCAUUUGCUUACAAUCAUUCAGAGCCCUAUGUAGCAAUACAGGGUGAUGGACUGCCUUUUGCAUAAUGAGCCUGCGAGUUGUGGUGUCUGGCAAGGUUAAGCAAACGCGAAGCCGUAGCGAAAGCGAGUCUGAAUAGGGCGCUUAGUCAGAUGCUGCAGACCCGAAACGAAGUGAUCUAUCCAUGAGCAAGUUGAAGCUAGUGUAAGAACUAGUGGAGGACUGAACCCAUAGGCGUUGAAAAGCCCCGGGAUGACUUGUGGAUAGGGGUGAAAGGCCAAUCAAACUUCGUGAUAGCUGGUUCUCUCCGAAAUAUAUUUAGGUAUAGCGUUGUGUCGUAAUAUAAGGGGGUAGAGCACUGAAUGGGCUAGGGCAUACACCAAUGUACCAAACCCUAUCAAACUCCGAAUACCUUAUAUGUAAUCACAGCAGUCAGGCGGCGAGUGAUAAAAUCCGUCGUCAAGAGGGAAACAACCCAGACUACCAGCUAAGGUCCCUAAAUCUUACUUAAGUGGAAAACGAUGUGAAGUUACUUAAACAACCAGGAGGUUGGCUUAGAAGCAGCCAUCCUUUAAAGAAAGCGUAAUAGCUCACUGGUCUAGUGAUUUUGCGCGGAAAAUAUAACGGGGCUAAAGUAAGUACCGAAGCUGUAGACUUGCGCACAACUUAGAUUAUUUAAGUUUAGAAUAUGAGAAACUAAGUUAUGUUUAGUUAUAUUUUUACUGAUUUUUAUAGAGUAAAGAUAGAAAUAAAACUUAGUAAAAUCAGUAAAAAUAUUCUUAGGCUAAAGUUAAGUAGUUUAAGUUGUGUGCAAGUGGUAGGAGAGCGUUCUAUUUGCGUCGAAGGUAUACCGGUAAGGAGUGCUGGAGCGAAUAGAAGUGAGCAUGCAGGCAUGAGUAGCGAUAAUUAAUGUGAGAAUCAUUAACGCCGUAAACCCAAGGUUUCCUACGCGAUGCUCGUCAUCGUAGGGUUAGUCGGGUCCUAAGUCGAGUCCGAAAGGGGUAGACGAUGGCAAAUUGGUUAAUAUUCCAAUACCAACAUUAGUGUGCGAUGGAAGGACGCUUAGGGCUAAGGGGGCUAGCGGAUGGAAGUGCUAGUCUAAGGUCGUAGGAGGUUAUACAGGCAAAUCCGUAUAACAAUACUCCGAGAACUGAAAGGCUUUUUGAAGUCUUCGGAUGGAUAGAAGAACCCCUGAUGCCGUCGAGCCAAGAAAAGUUUCUAAGUUUAGCUAAUGUUGCCCGUACCGUAAACCGACACAGGUGGGUGGGAUGAGUAUUCUAAGGCGCGUGGAAGAACUCUCUUUAAGGAACUCUGCAAAAUAGCACCGUAUCUUCGGUAUAAGGUGUGGUUAGCUUUGUAUUAGGAUUUACUCCGAAAGCAAGGAAACUUACAACAAAGAGUCCCUCCCGACUGUUUACCAAAAACACAGCACUCUGCUAACUCGUAAGAGGAUGUAUAGGGUGUGACGCCUGCCCGGUGCUCGAAGGUUAAUUGAUGGGGUUAGCAUUAGCGAAGCUCUUGAUCGAAGCCCGAGUAAACGGCGGCCGUAACUAUAACGGUCCUAAGGUAGCGAAAUUCCUUGUCGGUUAAAUACCGACCUGCAUGAAUGGCGUAACGAGAUGGGAGCUGUCUCAAAGAGGGAUCCAGUGAAAUUGUAGUGGAGGUGAAAAUUCCUCCUACCCGCGGCAAGACGGAAAGACCCCGUGGACCUUUACUACAGCUUGACACUGCUACUUGGAUAAGAAUGUGCAGGAUAGGUGGGAGGCUUUGAGUAUAUGACGCCAGUUGUAUAUGAGCCAUUGUUGAGAUACCACUCUUUCUUAUUUGGGUAGCUAACCAGCUUGAGUUAUCCUCAAGUGGGACAAUGUCUGGUGGGUAGUUUGACUGGGGCGGUCGCCUCCCAAAUAAUAACGGAGGCUUACAAAGGUUGGCUCAGAACGGUUGGAAAUCGUUCGUAGAGUAUAAAGGUAUAAGCCAGCUUAACUGCAAGACAUACAAGUCAAGCAGAGACGAAAGUCGG